GGAUGCCCAGACUACCUUUGGUCCACAAGAUAAGGAACGUAAUUAUUAUCAAAGUUAGAUAUAUCUUGAGGCUUCCUAAUAGCUAUUCAACUCCAGAUUGUCUGUUUUGCCUUCGACACUUGUCUCUUGCUACUUGCUUAUUCAUGUUACUGACCUUUGUGGUUUUCCUAAUUUUUCCGCUUCUUCUUACUUCUUAUUGUCUCC